UAUCCAUGGUGUUGAAGCGUCGAGCCGACU
rnacentral:piRNA from 1 species